GUGGAGCCUGGGACCAGGGGACAUGAGGGCACCUGCGGAGAGCUUGUGGCUGAGGAUGGAGGAGGGGCCAGGGAGGCGGGGGUGGGGUGGCCUGACCACCAACAGCAAGAGGAGGAAGAAGGGGUUUUGCAGGCGUGACUGCUGAGGAGCUGCAAAACGCCUUCGUUUGAGAAGAUCCCCCUUCUUCAGAAGCUGCCUUCGGUCAGUGAGGCAGAGAGAAGGGGAGGGAUGGUCCAGACAGCCUUGCCUGGCCUGCUCUUGGGUCCCUGGGCUCCCCAGGAGGGGCCACUGUGGGCCCGUGGGAGGACGCGGGCAGGCUGCUGCCAGGGACAGUCCAGGCCUGGCUCUGGUUGUGCGGAAGGGCCAGUCACUGAGGGAAGGCCCUUGUCGGUCUAACUAAAUGGAUGAUUAACAAUGAGCAAGGAGGCCACCUUCCUGGCAGCUCUGAUCACAGAUGAGGGUCCUGAGUGCUGGUGGGAGAAGGCACAAGGGGCGCAUCUCCAUGCCAGCAGCUAUGUCAACCACAGUGGCAAAGAUGGACGGCGAGCCUUGCUAAAGGAAGGGCUUGGAACACAGCGUGAGCAGAGGUCUAGAGGACGUGCAGUUUCUAGAGCAGACUCGUGGAAUGGACUCGGAAACUUCCGGAAGGUCAUCUUUCAUUAUGAGCUGGUGAUCCUGAGUCUAUGGCUUCAGGUGACCGUCCUCACCCAAGCUUCAGGUGCCCCUGAAGCUAACUUCAUCUAACUGCCCAGCUUCCCCGGAUGCCCAUGGGCACCUCAAACUUUAUGUGCCUCCAAACUGGCUUGUCAAACCGGGGGCGCCCCCUAGAUGCUGCUAAGUGCCCAGCCAAUACUCAUCUGCUCCUCCUCCCUAACUGAAUUCUGAUUUUGUUCUGGGUACCAAUGAACUCCACUGAAGUCGCUCAGCCUUCCUUGCAGCUAUGGGUGCUGCAUCCCUUCCCAAAUGAAAAGUCAAAGCCUUCUUAAGAGAAAGGCCCUUGCCUUCUUCCCUGCCUUGGAAUGAGGGCUGGAGGUGCAGCAGCCAUCUUGUGACCCCGAGGCCACAUGCUUAAGGACAAAGAGCCACUCAUUGAGGAUGGUGCAGGGGAAAGGUGGAGGGAUGGCAUUACAGAGCCACGUUCAUUUCAACCUGACUGCUGUCUCCUGAUCUUUUUUUUGUGUGUGAAAUCACCCCAUCACAUUUGUGGGGGUUUCUGUUACUUGAAGCGUUCCUGAGUGCUUCAUGCUCCUCUGUCUGUCACCUAGUCCUCUGGCCUCUUAAAGAGUUCUAAAUUGUUUCUUCCCAUCCCCCUCCACGUUCAGGCCUUGUCAUCUCCUCCUGCAGGAAUGGCGCUAGUGUCCUGCUGGGUCUCACUGCCUAUGUGGCGUCUCCCUCUGUCCAUCCCUGGAGGGCACCAUGGCUGCCAGGACCAGUUUUCAGAAACUCAUUUCUGACCACAUCCUUCCCAUCUUUAAACCCUCCAGUAGGCUCCAUUUCCCACACAAGACCAAGUCCCUUACCCAGACGCUGACCAUCUCUCUGCCCCGUCUUCCUCCGCUCCCUGCCUUGGAUUUACUGUCUCAGUAGCACGGCUGAGGGUGUGGCCUCUGCCCGCCAUCCCACCUUCUCUGCCACGCUGAGGCUGAGUGCCCCUCACAGAUGCGCCUUUCGCUCUCCUGCCGCCUCCUCUGAGCUCACCCUCAUCCGUCCAUCAGUCUGUCAUGGCACUUGUGGCACGGCUCGUAGGGAAUGGAGCUGGCCCGCUCCUCUGAUCCCCCUGAGUGAGCCCUCCAUGUCCCCUGGCUCCUGGUCGAGGCCUAGGCUCCGGUGCUCAGAGAGUGCCAUGCUCGAUCAUGCUCUGCUCGGUCCCUGCCACGUGGCCACUGCUGCUUGUUGCAGAAGCCACAGGGCAUUGCUUACUAAAAACUGGAAUAAAUGAGUCAUAAUCCCAUCACCCCGCCCCGGUAACCUGUUU
rnacentral:lncRNA from 1 species